rnacentral:lncRNA from 1 species
AAAACAAAUAGAGCAUCAUUAACAUACUUAAUAUCCCCAAGAUAUGAUUAAACAGCAUAAAUAGGCACAUUUUGAAGUGUCUGUUUCCCUUAGAAAGGCACCUCUGAGCUCUUUUUUUGAAAUGGGGAUGGGAGAAAGGAAAGAAUGAUGUUUCUGUAGAUGUCAAAGUUGCCUUUUUUUUUUUUUUUUAAGUUACUGAAUUCUUAUGUUGUUCAAUCACAGAUACAUUUCACUAUUGUGCUGCUUGCUUCUUUUGACUAAGAUCACUCGGGUUGACUUUUAUGAAUUUUAGACUUUUCUUCUUGUGUUUUCCUUUCCAAGGGGGACACAUCAUGGGAUGUAACAGAAGAAAGUUGACUGUGAUCCUGUGACUGACAGGAAAACAAGACUGGAAAUUAAACACUGCCAGUUUUCAAAUUGCUUCAGUUCAGAGCAUUGGAAUGGGCUCAAGUGGAAGAGCUGGUCUCUGCGUCCCCUUUGGUGUGGCUGGGUUGGACUUGGCAGCAGGGUGAAUCAGCUCCCUGAAGGAGAAGUCCUCUCCAACUGGUACCACCAGGUGUCCUGGCACUGAUACCUUGCAACAAUUUUUUUGGUUUGCAAUGUAACAGUGUGCAAUUCAAAAGCAAUGUCACCCAGAUGGCACCUCAGCCAGCUGAAGGAACCAGAAUGCAAC